AUGUUCCAUACUAAAGGAUUCGGGUCCAUAACCACGAGUCCCAGUGCACUAGAUCUUGUAGCACUUAGCAACGAAGCCCUAUCCAUUAGUAUUCCACAUAAGAAAUCCAUUCUAGAAAAAAAUACAAUUAGAUUAGCUCUUCAUAGACAAACUUGGGGUUUGCGAGCCAAGGUAAGAUCGGCUCGGGAUCAUGGGACCCUUUUCUAUCAGAUAGGAGGGGCUCUUGUACAAAAUAGACUUACUAAGUAA
rnacentral:rRNA from 1 species